GUGGGGAAUAUUCCGCAAUGGACGAAAGUCUGACGGAGCAACGCCGCGUGAGUGAUGAAGGUUUUCGGACUGUAAAGCUCUGUUGUUUAGGACGAAAGUGCCUGUUGCAAACAGUUACAGGUAUUGACGGUACUAAACGAGGAAGCCACGGCUAACUACGUGCCAGCAGCCGCGGUAAUACGUAGGUGGCAAGCGUUGUCCGGAAUUAUUGGGCGUAAAGAGCAUGUAGGCGGGAAUCUAAGUCUGUUGUGAAAAUGCGGGGCUCAACCCCGUAUUGCGAUGGAAACUGGGUUUCUUGAGUGCAGGAGAGGAAAGGGGAGUUCCCAGUGUAGCGGUGAAAUGCGUAGAUAUUGGGAGGAACACCAGUGGCGAAGGCGCCUUUCUGGACUGUGUCUGACGCUGAGAUGCGAAAGCCAGGGUAGCGAACGGGAUUAGAUACCCUUGUAGUCC
rnacentral:rRNA from 1 species